rnacentral:rRNA from 1 species
CAGCAGUAGCCGCGGGAAUACGUAGGUCCCGAGCGUUGUCCGGAUUUAUUGGGCGUAAAGCGAGCGCAGGCGGUCAAUUAAGUCUGAUGUGAAAGCCCCCGGCUCAACCGGGGAGGGUCAUUGGAAACUGGUUGACUUGAGUGCAGAAGAGGAGAGUGGAAUUCCAUGUGUAGCGGUGAAAUGCGUAGAUAUAUGGAGGAACACCAGUGGCGAAGGCGACUCUCUGGUCUGUAACUGACGCUGAGGCUCGAAAGCGUGGGUAGCAAACAGGAUUAGAUACCCCGGUAGUCCCUGUCUCUUAUAC